rnacentral:rRNA from 1 species
GAAACAUCUUCGGGUUGUGAGGUUAAGCGACUAAGCGUACACGGUGGAUGCCCUGGCAGCCAGAGGCGAUGAAGGACGUGCUAAUCUGCGAUAAGCGUCGGUAAGGUGAUAUGAACCGUUAUAACCGGCGAUUUCCGAAUGGGGAAACCCAGUGUGAUUCGUCACACUAUCAUUAACUGAAUCCAUAGGUUAAUGAGGCGAACCGGGGGAACUGAAACAUCUAAGUACCCCGAGGAAAAGAAAUCAACCGAGAUUCCCCCAGUAGCGGCGAGCGAACGGGGAGGAGCCCAGAGCCUGAAUCAGUGUGUGUGUUAGUGGAAGCGUCUGGAAAGGCGCGCGAUACAGGGUGACAGCCCCGUACACAAAAAUGCACAUGCUGUGAGCUCGAUGAGUAGGGCGGGACACGUGGUAUCCUGUCUGAAUAUGGGGGGACCAUCCUCCAAGGCUAAAUACUCCUGACUGACCGAUAGUGAACCAGUACCGUGAGGGAAAGGCGAAAAGAACCCCGGCGAGGGGAGUGAAAAAGAACCUGAAACCGUGUACGUACAAGCAGUGGGAGCACAGAGCAAUCUGUGUGACUGCGUACCUUUUGUAUAAUGGGUCAGCGACUUAUAUUCUGUAGCAAGGUUAACCGAAUAGGGGAGCCGAAGGGAAACCGAGUCUUAACUGGGCGUUAAGUUGCAGGGUAUAGACCCGAAACCCGGUGAUCUAGCCAUGGGCAGGUUGAAGGUUGGGUAACACUAACUGGAGGACCGAACCGACUAAUGUUGAAAAAUUAGCGGAUGACUUGUGGCUGGGGGUGAAAGGCCAAUCAAACCGGGAGAUAGCUGGUUCUCCCCGAAAGCUAUUUAGGUAGCGCCUCGUGAAUUCAUCUCCGGGGGUAGAGCACUGUUUCGGCAAGGGGGUCAUCCCGACUUACCAACCCGAUGCAAACUGCGAAUACCGGAGAAUGUUAUCACGGGAGACACACGGCGGGUGCUAACGUCCGUCGUGAAGAGGGAAACAACCCAGACCGCCAGCUAAGGUCCCAAAGUCAUGGUUAAGUGGGAAACGAUGUGGGAAGGCCCAGACAGCCAGGAUGUUGGCUUAGAAGCAGCCAUCAUUUAAAGAAAGCGUAAUAGCUCACUGGUCGAGUCGGCCUGCGCGGAAGAUGUAACGGGGCUAAACCAUGCACCGAAGCUGCGGCAGCGACGCUGAUGCGUUGUUGGGUAGGGGAGCGUUCUGUAAGCCUGCGAAGGUGUGCUGUGAGGCAUGCUGGAGGUAUCAGAAGUGCGAAUGCUGACAUAAGUAACGAUAAAGCGGGUGAAAAGCCCGCUCGCCGGAAGACCAAGGGUUCCUGUCCAACGUUAAUCGGGGCAGGGUGAGUCGACCCCUAAGGCGAGGCCGAAAGGCGUAGUCGAUGGGAAACAGGUUAAUAUUCCUGUACUUGGUGUUACUGCGAAGGGGGGACGGAGAAGGCUAUGUUGGCCGGGCGACGGUUGUCCCGGUUUAAGCGUGUAGGCUGGUUUUCCAGGCAAAUCCGGAAAAUCAAGGCUGAGGCGUGAUGACGAGGCACUACGGUGCUGAAGCAACAAAUGCCCUGCUUCCAGGAAAAGCCUCUAAGCAUCAGGUAACAUCAAAUCGUACCCCAAACCGACACAGGUGGUCAGGUAGAGAAUACCAAGGCGCUUGAGAGAACUCGGGUGAAGGAACUAGGCAAAAUGGUGCCGUAACUUCGGGAGAAGGCACGCUGAUAUGUAGGUGAAGCGACUUGCUCGUGGAGCUGAAAUCAGUCGAAGAUACCAGCUGGCUGCAACUGUUUAUUAAAAACACAGCACUGUGCAAACACGAAAGUGGACGUAUACGGUGUGACGCCUGCCCGGUGCCGGAAGGUUAAUUGAUGGGGUUAGCGCAAGCGAAGCUCUUGAUCGAAGCCCCGGUAAACGGCGGCCGUAACUAUAACGGUCCUAAGGUAGCGAAAUUCCUUGUCGGGUAAGUUCCGACCUGCACGAAUGGCGUAAUGAUGGCCAGGCUGUCUCCACCCGAGACUCAGUGAAAUUGAACUCGCUGUGAAGAUGCAGUGUACCCGCGGCAAGACGGAAAGACCCCGUGAACCUUUACUAUAGCUUGACACUGAACAUUGAGCCUUGAUGUGUAGGAUAGGUGGGAGGCUUUGAAGUGUGGACGCCAGUCUGCAUGGAGCCGACCUUGAAAUACCACCCUUUAAUGUUUGAUGUUCUAACGUGGACCCGUAAUCCGGGUUGCGGACAGUGUCUGGUGGGUAGUUUGACUGGGGCGGUCUCCUCCUAAAGAGUAACGGAGGAGCACGAAGGUUGGCUAAUCCUGGUCGGACAUCAGGAGGUUAGUGCAAUGGCAUAAGCCAGCUUGACUGCGAGCGUGACGGCGCGAGCAGGUGCGAAAGCAGGUCAUAGUGAUCCGGUGGUUCUGAAUGGAAGGGCCAUCGCUCAACGGAUAAAAGGUACUCCGGGGAUAACAGGCUGAUACCGCCCAAGAGUUCAUAUCGACGGCGGUGUUUGGCACCUCGAUGUCGGCUCAUCACAUCCUGGGGCUGAAGUAGGUCCCAAGGGUAUGGCUGUUCGCCAUUUAAAGUGGUACGCGAGCUGGGUUUAGAACGUCGUGAGACAGUUCGGUCCCUAUCUGCCGUGGGCGCUGGAGAAUUGAGGGGGGCUGCUCCUAGUACGAGAGGACCGGAGUGGACGCAUCACUGGUGUUCGGGUUGUCAUGCCAAUGGCACUGCCCGGUAGCUAAAUGCGGAAGAGAUAAGUGCUGAAAGCAUCUAAGCACGAAACUUGCCCCGAGAUGAGUUCUCCCUGACUCCUUGAGAGUCCUGAAGGAACGUUGAAGACGACGACGUUGAUAGGCCGGGUGUGUAAGCGCAGCGAUGCGUUGAGCUAACCGGUACUAAUGAACCGUGAGGCUUAACCUU